rnacentral:lncRNA from 1 species
CCUGCGCCCUCACCUGCCCAGGUGUGCUCUCACCUGCCCAGGUGUGCCUGUCGCUCACGGCCAAGCGCCUGGCGUGAGGUGUGAGAUGCACAGGUGUGCCGUGCCCUGCCCAGGUGUGCUGUGCCCUGCCCAGCCGUGCUCUCACCUGUUCCCUCACCUGCUCACCUGUCCGCUCACCUGCGCAGGUGUGCCUGUCGCUGACGGCCAAGCGCCUGGCGCGCCGUGUGAGGUGUACAGGUGUGCUGUACCCUGCCCAGGUGUGCUGUGCCCUGCCCAGGUGUGCUAUACCCCACUCAGGUGUGCCGUGCCCUGCCCAGCCGUGCUCUCACCUGUUCCCUCACCUGCUCACCUGUCCGCUCACCUGGCCAGGUGUGCCUGUCGCUCACGGCGCAGCUGCCCAGGUGUGCUGCACCCUGCCCAGGUGUGCUGUGCCCUGCCCAGGUGUGCUAUACCCCACUCAGGUGUGCCGUGCCCUGCGACACCUGGAUAUACCUGGGGACGGGUGAGGAACCACCUGGACACACCUAGGGCGCUCCUGGGAUACACCUGGGGACACCUGGAUACACCUGGGGACACUUGGAUACACCUGGGGACACCUGGAUACACCUGGGGCACACCUGGGCACACCUGGGCACACCUGGGGCACACCUGGGGACACCUGGAUACACCUGGAUACACCUGGGGCACACCUGGGAUACACCUGGGGCACACCUGGUGGGGCUGGGAUACACCUGGGACACAUCUGAACACACCUGGAUCACACCUGGGUCACACCUGGGGCACACCUGGGGCACACCUGGGGGGGCUGGGAUACACGUGGGAACAGCUGGGCACACCUGGAUAUACCUGGGGAUGGGUGAGGACACACCUAGAUACACCUGGGGCACACCUGGGAUACACCUGGGGCACUCCUGGGAUACACCUGGGGCACUCCUGGGGCACACCUGGGCACACCUGGGGCACACCUGGGACACACCUGGGGCACACCUGGGAUACACCUGGGCACACCUGGGCACACCUGGGGCACAGGGGGGGGGGGGGGGGGGGGGGGGGGGGGGGGGGGGGGGGGGGGGGGGGGGGGGGGGGGGGGGGGGGGGGGGGGGGGGGGGGGGGGGGGGGGGGG